AGGGCACAGGGCGGAUGCCUUGGCACUAAGAGCCGAUGAAAGACGUGAUAAGCUGCGAAAAGCUUCGGGGAGGAGCAAAUAUCCCGUGAUCCGGAGAUGUCUGAAUGGGGAAACCCGCAUGAGCAGACCUCAUGCAUCCAUACGCCAAUCCAUAACGUAUGGAGGGGAACCCGGGAAACUGAAACAUCUAAGUACCCGGAGGAAAAGAAAGAAACAUCGAUUCCGUAAGUAGCGGCGAGCGAACGCGGAGGAGCCUAAACCGGUGUGCGUGCAUGCCGGGGUCAUGGACUGCAUUUAAGAUUCAGCANUACGUUCCCGGGUCUUGUACACACCGCCCGUCACACCAUGGGAGUCAGUAACGCCCGAAGUCAGUGACCUAACCGCAAGGAAGGAGCUGCCGAAGGCGGGACCGAUGACUGGGGUGAAGUCGUAACAAGGUAGCCGUAUCGGAAGGUGCGGCUGGAUCACCUCCUUUCUAAGGAAAUUGGAUACAGUAGGCUGUGUAAACGGCUGAAUCAAUCCAACUAAAACGGAAAAAGUAGAGAAAAGAAAUGUGUUUUACUGUUUAGCUAUCAAGCUGAGAUAUUUCUGGUGCCGAUGCGGUUGGGGGACACACCCGUUCCCAUCCCGAACACGACGGUUAAGACCCAAUCGGCCGAUGGUACUGCACUGGAGACGGUGUGGGAGAGCAGGUGGGCGCCAGAUCAAAAAAAGAAAAACAGGAGAGAUCCUGAUAAGAAUAGAUGCUGGUUUUACCAGUGAUCAGAGAUUACAAAAACAUUUGUGAGUUCUNUUUAUCAGAGAGUUUGAUCCUGGCUCAGGAUGAACGCUGGCGGCGUGCUUAACACAUGCAAGUCGAACGGGAAUUACUUUAUUGAAACUUCGGUCGAUUUAAUUUAAUUCUAGUGGCGGACGGGUGAGUAACGCGUGGGUAACCUGCCUUGUACAGGGGGAUAACAGUCAGAAAUGACUGCUAAUACCGCAUAAGCGCACAGGACCGCAUGGUCUGGUGUGAAAAACUACGGUGGUAUAAGAUGGACCCGCGUUGGAUUAGCUAGUUGGUGAGGUAACGGCCCACCAAGGCGACGAUCCAUAGCCGGCCUGAGAGGGUGAACGGCCACAUUGGGACUGAGACACGGCCCAGACUCCUACGGGAGGCAGCAGUGGGGAAUAUUGCACAAUGGGGGGNAGUGCGUAAUAGCUCACUGGUCGAGAGGUCCUGCGCCGAAAAUGUCCGGGGCUGAAACGCGCCACCGAAACUAAGGAAUCUGAAAAGAUUGGUAGAGGAGCAUUGCAUGCGGGAAGAAGCAGUACCGGAAGGAGCUGUGGACUGCAUGGAAGAGAGAAUGCCGGAAUGAGUAGCGAGAUAGAGGUGGGAAUCCUCUAGGCCGAAUAUCCAAGGUUUCCAGGGUAAAGCUGAUCUGCCCUGGGUGAGUCGGGACCUAAGGUGAGGGCGAGAGCCGUAGCCGAUGGACAACAGGUUGAUAUUCCUGUACUGCAGUAUGACAGAACUGUGGGGACACGUAAGGAGAGCGGGAGCCGGGAAUGGAAAGCCCGGUACAAGCGAGGUACCAGUAUGGUAGGAAAAUCCGCCAUGCAAUGGGAAGACGUGAUGUGGAGUGAAUUUUAGUAANGAAGAUUAGUAGCGAAGCCCGUGAGCCAUGCGUCAAGAAAAGCCGCUAUCGUUCAUAUUGUACCCGUACCGUAAACCGACACAGGUGGAUGAGGAGAGAAUCCUAAGGCCGGCGGAAGAAGUAUUGCCAAGGAACUCGGCAAAAUGGCCCCGUAACUUAGGGAGAAGGGGUGCCUGCGAGAGCAGGCCGCAGAGAAUAGGCUCAAGCAACUGUUUAGCAAAAACACAGGUCUAUGCGAAACCGAAAGGUGAGGUAUAUGGGCUGACGCCUGCCCGGUGCUGGAAGGUUAAGAGGAGAGGUUAGCGGUAACGCGAAGCUUUGAAUUUAAGCCCCAGUAAACGGCGGCCGUAACUAUAACGGUCCUAAGGUAGCGAAAUUCCUUGUCGGGUAAGUUCCGACCCGCACGAAAGGCGUAAUGAUUUGAGCGCUGUCUCGGCAAUACAUCCGGUGAAAUUGAAGUGCCAGUGAAGAUGCUGGCUACCCGCGCCAGGACGGAAAGACCCCAUGGAGCUUUACUCCAGUUUGGCACUGGGGUCCGGUGUUGCAUGUACAGGAUAGGUGGGAGGCUGAGAAACGGUAACGUCAGUUGCCGCGGAGCCGCUGUUGGGAUACCACCCUUGUGAUAUUGGGCUUCUAACCAGCCGCCGUAAUCCGGCGGUGGGACAAUGCCAGGCGGGGAGUUUGACUGGGGCGGUCGCCUCCGAAAGGGUAUCGGAGGCGCCCAAAGGUUCCCUCAGAAUGGACGGAAACCAUUCGAAGAGUGCAAAGGCAGAAGGGAGCUUGACUGCGACACCGACGGGUGGAGCAGGUACGAAAGUAGGGCUUAGUGAUCCGGUGGUAUUAAGUGGGAAUGCCAUCGCUCAACGGAUAAAAGCUACCCUGGGGAUAACAGGCUUAUCACUCCCAAGAGUUCACAUCGACGGAGUGGUUUGGCACCUCGAUGUCGGCUCAUCGCAUCCUGGGGCUGUAGUAGGUCCCAAGGGUUGGGCUGUUCGCCCAUUAAAGCGGUACGCGAGCUGGGUUCAGAACGUCGUGAGACAGUUCGGUCCCUAUCCGGCGUGGGCGUAGGAUAUCUGAGAGGAGCUGUCCUUAGUACGAGAGGACCGGGAUGGACGGACCGCUGGUGGACCGGUUGGCUUGCCAAAGCCAUGGCCGGGUAGCCAAGUCCGGAAGGGAUAAACGCUGAAGGCAUCUAAGCGUGAAGCCCCCCUCAAGAUGAGAUAUCCCAUUCU
rnacentral:rRNA from 1 species